UACGUAGGGUGCAAGCGUUGUCCGGAAUUAUUGGGCGUAAAGAGCUCGUAGGCGGUCUGUCGCGUCUGCUGUGAAAACUCAGGGCUUAACCCUGAGCUUGCAGUGGGUACGGGCAGACUAGAGUGCGGUAGGGGAGACUGGAAUUCCUGGUGUAGCGGUGAAAUGCGCAGAUAUCAGGAGGAACACCGGUGGCGAAGGCGGGGUCUCUGGGGCCGUAAACUGACGCUGGAGGAGCGAAAAGCAUGGGGGAGCGAACAGG
rnacentral:rRNA from 1 species